UACGAAGGGGGCUAGCGUUGCUCGGAAUCACUGGGCGUAAAGCGCACGUAGGCGGCUUUUUAAGUCAGGGGUGAAAUCCUGGAGCUCAACUCCAGAACUGCCUCUGAUGCUGAAAGGCUUGAGUCCGGGAGAGGUGAGUGGAACUGCGAGUGUAGAGGUGAAAUUCGUAGAUAUUCGCAAGAACACCAGUGGCGAAGGCGGCUCACUGGCCCGGUACUGACGCUGAGGUGCGAAAGCGUGGGGAGCAAACAGG
rnacentral:rRNA from 1 species